AGAGAGUUAUCCUCUCAGUGUUCAAGCGAAAGGCCACACAAAUGCUCAAAUCAAGCUUUCUUAGCUGUAAGGAUGAGCAAACAAAAUCAUCCAGUCAGUUCAGCCAAUCUUUCGAUGGUUUGGUUUCUCCUUUUUCCACCUCCCUCAACCUGCUGGUCACACUUCUCUUGAUGCAGCCCAGGGUACGGUUGGCCUUCUGGGCUGCAAGCACAGUUACAAUAAAUAACUUUCUCUUGAGGUAGUGUAGCUUGUACUGUCCUGAUCUAGUUCUUGUUAGAUACUAUUUCUUCCUUUCAAGUACUGCAUUAGCCUAACUGUAAAGAGAGGCUAAAUGUUCUGUGUCCAAGACAGAUUGUGUUGUCCUCCCAUAGUUUCAGCUUGAAACUUACUUUUCUGCUUUGCUCCCUUCUCACACAUAUGAGUACCAGAAUUGCACUGCCUCUCUUAAAUUUCUCUCUCUGCGGCUUUGCUAGCUGUAGUCUGGCAAUUCUCUAUUUGCUAACCUGUAUGAUUAAGUUCUAAACUAUCUGUGUGCUGCUUUCUGGCUUCAUACAUCAUGCUUUUUGUUCCAUCACGCUUAGUAUAAACUUCAGGGAGCUGAAAAUAAAUGAAUUGGGACCCACUGUUAAAUAUUAAAAUUCUCACUGAGGGAGAUGGUCGGCGAGUCGCUAAACCAGGAGUGUGUAUGGCUUAUUUCAGUCCCAGCUCAUGUUAACUUUGGCACCAAAGGGCGGGUUGUCCUGCAGCAUGGCUGGACCCUGCUGAGUGAGCGUGCUUCUGAAGCAACUCUUCCAUUGCCCUCUCUUCCUGUGCUAUGGUUCACAUCACGUAGUUGUUUUAUGCCCUGACCCGGAUUCCUUUUGAAUGAAGCUAAGCUGAAAGGUGUUUUUUUACAAGCUCACCUAACAGGUACUUGGCACUAACGGGGUGUUCAGUUUGUGGGGUUAGACUGUAAGCUGUUCUGAAAUGAGUGCUUUUUCAUCUCAUUUUCCACUUCUUGACCCCAGAAGUGUGCUGUACAACUUUUGGUCCUCUGCACCAACUGUGUUCUACAGAUCUACUCCUUCCUAAUACAAACGUAGUCAUAAUUUUGUCUCUCUUCCUGCCUUAAGUGCAGGUUGACACACUGUUUGGUGUUUUUUCCUCUUGCUUUUAAGUGGUUACUGCACUUCCAACGUAACACCCCAUAAUUUGUGCAAUGGUUUGAGCUGGAAAGUGAGAUAAUGCACUUGAUUGCUAUGGUGCACCUACCACAUCAUUAGCUGUUGGAAAAUGAAUCAGCCAUACUGUACGUGCCUGACAGCAUGACUGACCUUAAUGCAAAUGCUGCCUUGAAAGCGUCAGUAGUUUUCUCAGUAGACUGCACAGAAGGCAGAGAUCCUGACAGCAGUUUCCACUGUAGAACUGGCACAGGCUUGGCUGUUCCACGGCAUCAGACCAUCCACAUAGGACUAGGAUACAACCACAGGAGAAGUCUUUGGUAUCCCACUUGUUGUUUGACAGCAGCAGCUGCAGUUGCUGGUCAGGGCAGGCUGUGUAUUUGUUACGCCACAUGUCAUAUAAUCCUUCCACUUGCUCAUCCAGGUGGUGCUGUCUGACCAACUGGUUUAUAGCCUCAUUUCUCUUCAUUUCAUGAUGGCUCAGAAUAAACAGCAGAAUUGACUGAGAUGGACACAAUGAG
ensembl:lncRNA